AAAUUAUCAGAUAUUUAUAAUAUAGAUUUAAAUACUUUUAAUCGAAAUUGAGUAAUGGUUACUAUGUGAGUACUUUCGUAAGAAUUCACAAUUGUACUUGUGAUAUUUCAGAGCUAAAUGUGUCUGCUGAUUUAUUAGACAGGAACGAUUACUGAGAUUAUUUAUGAUAACUGAUUACACAAUAAUCGCAAUCUUGAGUUACUUUUUGUAUUCCAUAAUCAAAAUUUUAAUAUCUUUUAUUUUCAAAAUAGGUUUGGUGAAAGAAGAUUAAAUUUGCAUUAAAAAAAAACAUUAAGCUUGUCAUUUAACAUAUCAUUGUUUAGAUAUACCAUUACGUUAAUGUCCUGAUACCGGAAAAAACAGUGAAAGGUUAUGCUAAUGCCAUAAACGUUCGAUUUUAUUUCGAAAAUUCAAAAGUGUUAUUGGAAAUUGAGAUAGAGGUUGUAAAAAUAAAUCAAUAAUUACUUGAACAACUGAUGAUAUCUUAUUCUUAAUUGAACACAUUAAUAGAGGGGUUUAAGCAAUAGAAAGUUGACGAAAAUCAUAAGAUACAAAUAUUAGAAAAAUUGACACGAGUAAUGGGACCCAUUGUCCCCAUAUAAGCGUACUGCCCUGACUUAGAUGUUCUUACUGCGCAUACUCCAGAGCACACACAUGCACACACAUUGCUCGAUAGACAGGAAUUUCUUUGGCGUGAUGCCGGUUGUAGGCCUCUGCGUGAUCGCGGCUAAAUUCGCUAAUAAGAAACGAGCCCUAUGGAAAAUUCCAGAGUCCGUGUCCGUUAGGAGCAGGCAAGGGAGAGUUGUGAAUCCCUUGAUCGUCAACAAUGAAUGAAUGAAUUACUGAGAAUAACGAUAUCCCCGCCACGAGAUGCUAACCGAUUCUAACCGUAUUUCGCGCCAUCGAAUAUCGUGAAAUACCAGAAUGGAGAUACCUAGGUCAUUUAACGCUACAGUAAUUCGUGGAGUUUAUCCUUGGAAGGCGAUGCAUGUCAUUCUACAACGUGAGAAGUGUUGCACAUUUGACGUAGCGAGGGACGAUGUUGGAUGGACGAGAGCAAUAGAAAGUACCAGUACGAGGAACAGCGUUGUAUUAUGUGCGGCAAAAAAAUUCCAUCCAUACGCGGGGAGCGGAUACAGAGCAAGCAAUUUCGCUUGUUGAGCGAAUCAUUCGAAAAAGGUCCCUCGCCCACAUCUUUCCAAUUCAUUGCGCUCGAAGAAGACUGACCUGGAAUUCUCGGUGACAACAAAUCAUGGUCAGUUUUCGUAGAACUGAAUGAGUCUGUGUCCUACACAAAUUGUUUUCGUAGAACCAUAAAAAACAGAUGAAACUUCCGUACUAUAUUCUGUAUUUAUAACAGAAUAGUGUACAGCGUUUCAGUGACCACCAGUUUUGCUUCGCUUCGCUAAUUAUUGUAUUUCCGUUACCGCGUUUCGAUUAACCGCGGAACAAGAUUUAUCAUCGUCGUCAUAAAACAUUCUUGGAACACAAGUUUCCGUACAUAGCUUCGAGAACACCUUGUUGGAAUAUCGAAUGCGCGUUUCCAAUGGU